UGAAAAGCUUGUUAACACUUGAGGCCACAUUUAUAACCCUAUCUUCAUGAAACUUGGUCAGAAUGUUUAUCUUGAUGAUUCCUAGUUCGAAACUGGAUCAUGUGGGGUCAAAAAUUAGGCCACCUCAAAUCAAAGGAAAAGCUUGUUAACACUGUAGCGGCCAUAUUUAUGACCCUAUCUUCAUGAAACUUGGUCAGAAUGUUUAUUUUGAUGAUUCCGAGUCCAAGUUUAAGAGGUGAGCGAUACAGGGUCAUCAUGACUCUCUUAUUUAUUAAUGGUGUUGUUGCCACUGCUAUUGACGAUAAUGUAUAUGUCAUCAUCAACAGAAGCAGAACAUACAAUGGCAUCCACCUCCUCAACAUCAUCAUUGUCAUCAUCAUCAACAACAACAGCAGCAGCAACAGUAGCAGCAGCAUGAUCAUAAGCAACAGCAAUACUUUUAACAGCAACACUAACAGCAAUAACGUCAUCAUCAAUACCGCAACUACCAUACCUGUCAUUGUUAUGUUCAUCGAUGUCAGCAAUAAAUGUAUUUCAGGAGUGGAAUUUACACAAGAACCGGCGAGAUCUGGUCAAAAUACGUAACAGAACGCUCAUAUAGAACAAAUCAGAAGUAAAUAAAGCCGUGUUAGGAAAGACUACAGCUUCAAACCGGAGAUUGCUAGAGGGACAUGACUUCAAUGUGUUCAAGUAUUUACCGGAGAUUGCUGGGGGGACAUGGCUUCAAUGUGUUCAAGUAUUUACCGGAGAUUGCUGGAGGGACAUGACUUCAAUGUGUUCAAGUAUUUACCGGAGAUUGCUGGAGGGACAUGACUUCAAUGUGUUCAAGUAUUUACCGGAGAUUGCUGGGGGGACAUGACUUCAAUGUAUUCAAGUAUUUACCGGAGAUUGCUGGAGGGACAUGACUUCAAUGUGUUCAAGUAUUUACCGGAGAUUGCUGGAGGGACAUGACUUCAGUGUGUUCAAGUAUUUACCGGAGAUUGCUGGGGGGACAUGACUUCAGUGUGUUCAAGUAUUUACCGGAGAUUGCUGGAGGGACAUGACUUCAAUGUGUUCAAGUAUUUACCGGAGAUUGUUGGAGGGACAUGACUUCAGUGUCUUCAAGUAUUUACCGGAGAUUGCUGGAGGGACAUGACUUCAAUGUGUUCAAAUAUUUAUAUGCUGUUCUUGAAUCCUGCAAGUACUUGUGUAUGUAUCAUCAACUGCAAUGAGAUUUUAACAAAAUGUGCUGUUGCUCGAAAUCUGAUGUAUCUUUGAGAUGCAGAUGUAUCCGUUCAAUUGUAUCUAUUAGGUGCAUAUGUAUCAGUGAGGUGCAGAUGUAUUGGUGAGGUACAGAUUUAUCGAUGAGGUGCAGAUGUAUCGAUGAAAUACAGAUGUAUCGAUGAGGUGCAGUUAUAUCGGUGAGGUACAGAUGUAUCUAUAAGGUGCAGUUAUAUCGGUGAGGUGAUGAUGUAUCGGCGAGGGGCAGAUUUAUCUAUUAGGUGCAUAUGUAUCGGUGAGGUGCAGAUGUUUCAAUGAGGUACAAUGUAUCGAUGAGAUACAGAUUUAUCGAUGAGGUACAGAUGUAUCAGUGAAGUACAGAUGUAUCGAUGAGGUGCAGUUGUAUCAGUGAGGUGCUGAUGUAUCGGCGAGGUGCAGAUGUAUCAAUUAAGUGCAUAUGUAUCGGUGAUGUGCAGAUGUAUCGGCGAGAAGAACAGAUGUUUCGAUGAGGUUCAGAUGUAUCACACCAAAUGUAUCGGUGAGAUGCAGAUGUAUCGGUGAGGUGCAGAUGUAUCACAACAGAUGUAUCGGUGAUACUCAGAUGCAUCGGUGAGGUGCAGAUGUAUCACAACAGAUGUAUCGGUGAGGUACAGAUGUGUCUGUGAAGUGCAGAUGUAUCACAAUAGAUGUAUCGGUGAUGUACAGAUAUAUAAAUAUUUCCAGUUUCCGUGAGCGAGUGGUUAAGGUUGCUGCUGGCUCCGAAUUACUUAUCCAUCACCUCUGUGGCUUCGAAAACGCUCUUGGGAUGUAGCAAACUAUCCAGCUGAACUUCUCCAUACCAACAGAUACCCGUGCCGGGCAUAAUGUGCACUUCUCCAUACCAACAGAUACCCGUGCCGGGCAUAAUGUGCAACGAGGCACCUGCGGUCUUCUUUCAUCAAUAGAUCUGGAAAGUCGGCAUAUGACAUUGUGUUGGCGUGACUUAAACCCAACAAAAUAAAUACCUGCAAAAAAUUCAGUGUCAUAAGUAAUAAUCUAGAAAUAAUGAUAGACGCGCGGUUAGGGUGAAAUAGGUCAUUUUUCGAUGUAUGACAAAAUAGGUGUUUUUCCCCCAAGAUUUUCACACGAUUUUACAAGUUAUUUAACAAAAAGGUGGCAAUCAGAAAAUUGCUUUACGUAACCACCAUUACAUUUGUGAAAUUCAAAUAAUCACCGGGGAUUCUAUACUUUCAGUAAAUAUCCAUUUCCUACCUAUACAACAUUUCGGCAAGUAUAAAAGACCAAACUCAAAUAAUUUAAUUUCUUAUUUACAUUUGAUUCUUCGAACAUUAUUUUUCACAUUGUGUAGGAUUUAUGUAAAUAUUCGAAAUAAAUAACAAUUUAUUUUGAAUUUGAACUUAGAAUGACGUCUAAACGUUAAAAAAGAGUUCACAGUGAUCCGUCAUAGAUGUAGAUAGACCGACUUUCACAACAGAAAUUAAUACGUUUUCAUAUUCUACAAAUAAAACAGCACAAUUCCCCGUAAAGAAUUUUUAGUCCUGAAAUUCAGUAGGAAAAAAUCAGUAUAGUACUUUACCCAUGACCUAGUGCUGGAUCAAUCUUUACUUUAACACGGGUUGUCCUUGAUUUCUCCUCCAACGUAGUACAGUACUAUUGAUAUUAUAUGAGUGUGGAACUAUUUUAAUUUUAAAAAUAUCUUGAUGCGUUGCAAUAUCGUCAAACCAAUCUAGAGAGAAGUUUCCAUCUAAAAUUUCAACCAAUUUGAAAUAUAAUAAAAAAUCUUUCUUUGUACUUUGUACUUUAAGACGAUGAAAGAAAAAAAAACCAAGUAAAAUAGUGUAAAUUUUAGAACUUUUCAUUAUUUUUGAUUGGCCAGAAUUUUAUAUUUUGGGCCAUAAAAUUGACAUUAUCAAAGAAAAAUUCAAAGAAUCCCUAUUGCCAUCCAGGAGUCCAUUAGAAUGGUGGUAAAUGUUGCAGCAUUAUGAGAAUGAGCUUUGUCAGCCAUUUUAUUACUUUGAAUUAAUAGUCUCAUUCAUAUCUGGAUAUUUGCAGUGUAAUGGUUUAGAAAUCUUAGUCCUACGCCCAGAUUUACUCUUUUUCUCGUGGUUUGCACAUGUUAUGGGAAUGUAUACAGAUGCAUUUGCCGGAUUAGAUUUUCUGGCAAAAACAUGUUGCCUUAAAAGACGGCGGCGGGUAAUUACAACAAUCAUCGGAAUCUAUCUCGUCGGACAAAAGAACACCCAGCGGAACACAAAGCGCCCAUUGAAACCAAAACUUUAUAAUCAACUGCGCUCACUUUCUCGUCUGCGGAAUUAGCUGGCGCCAUAUUGUAGACAAAUCACAGGAGAUUUUUUUUCUAUUCACUUUUUUCAUAUUUCCUUCCUCAAUUAUUCUCCCUGACCAAAUCUAAUCAAACAGAAACCGACCUGACAGAAACCCAACCAGCUAACCAUUUAGUUUAGAUUCCCCUGCUUUUAUUAUAUAGUGGCU